rnacentral:rRNA from 1 species
UACGUAGGUCCCGAGCGUUGUCCGGAUUUACUGGGUGUAAAGGGAGCGUAGACGGCGAUGCAAGCCAGAUGUGAAAGCCCGGGGCUCAACCCCGGGACUGCAUUUGGAACUGUAUAGCUAGAGUGUCGGAGAGGCAGGCGGAAUUCCUAGUGUAGCGGUGAAAUGCGUAGAUAUUAGGAGGAACACCAGUGGCGAAGGCGGCCUGCUGGACGAUGACUGACGUUGAGGCUCGAAAGCGUGGGGAGCAAACAGG